rnacentral:rRNA from 1 species
CUGCUGCCUCCCGUAGGAGUCUGGGCCGUGUCUCAGUCCCAAUGUGGCCGAUCAACCUCUCAGUCCGGCUACCGAUCGUCGCCUUGGUGGGCCGUUGCCCCACCAACUAGCUAAUCGGCCGCGAGCCCAUCUUCCAGCGGAUUGCUCCUUUGGCUGCAUCGGGAUGCCCCAUCGCAGCGUUAUGCGGUAUUAGCAGUCGUUUCCAACUGUUAUCCCCCUNUGAAAGGCAGGUUGCUCACGUUG